CCACAGCCCCACUCCAUUUAUGUUGGAGGAAGUAGCCAAAGCAAAAGUAUGACCUGCCAUCCAACCUGUACAUCUUCCCAUCGAAAGCAGAAACACCAGACUGGUUGGAUUUUCUUCCUCCUCAAUGGACACAGUCCUGGUUCCUCCUAAUGCUCUGUGGCUCAGCUCAGGGUCCUAGCCUUUUCCAACUAUACUCACCCUCUAGGUGACCACUCCAACCCAACAACUUUAAAGUCCACCUGUAAUGCCCAUUUCCCCAAUCUGUGUCUCCAGCCCUGGCCAUCCAAAAUCAAACAUCAGCACUCGGCACCCAUGGGAUAAAGCAAAGUGCCUAACUUCCCACUACUACCAGUGUGUGCUGGAAAGCCGCUCGCCAAAUUCACAAGCAAUGUGAAGAGAUCUGUAUGUGUUGAAUGCUGUGAUUUGAAUACACUGGGCAUUUUCUAAAUUUUUCAAAUAUAAGUCUUCAAAUCUC